GACGUAGGUGGCGACCGUUAUCCGGAAUUAUUGGGCGUAAAGGGUGCGUAGGUGGUCUGAUAAGUUAUCAGUGGCAAAUCGAGGCUCAACCUCGUGGAAACUGGUAAUACUGUCAGGCUUGAGUGCAGGAGAGGUUAACGGAACUCUAUGUGGAGCGGUAAAAUGCACAGAUAUAUAGAAGAACAUCAAUAACGGCGAAGGCAGUUAACUAUUCUGUUACUGACACUGAGGCACGAAAGCGUGGGGAGCAAAACGG
rnacentral:rRNA from 1 species